rnacentral:rRNA from 1 species
UAGGGAAUAUUGGACAAUGGGCGCAAGCCUGAUCCAGCCAUGCCGCGUGAGUGAAGAAGGCCCUCGGGUUGUAAAGCUCUUUUGUCCGGAAAGAAAAGCUUUGGGUUAAUACCCCGAAGUCCUGACGGUACCGGAAGAAUAAGCACCGGCUAACUUCGUGCCAGCAGCCGCGGUAAUACGAAGGGUGCAAGCGUUACUCGGAAUUACUGGGCGUAAAGCGUGCGUAGGUGGUUCGUUAAGUCUGAUGUGAAAGCCCUGGGCUCAACCUGGGAAUGGCAUUGGAUACUGGCGGGCUAGAGUGCGGUAGAGGGCAGUGGAAUUCCCGGUGUAGCAGUGAAAUGCGUAGAGAUCGGGAGGAACAUCUGUGGCGAAGGCGACUGCAUGGACCAGCACUGACACUGAGGCACGAAAGCGUGGGGAGCAAACAGG